AAAGGGGUGCCCCACGGAUAACGAUGAACGGGCUGAGAUUAUACCCUGUGAACCUGAUGCGGUUAGUACCGACGAAGGGAUUGUUACU
rnacentral:ncRNA from 1 species